rnacentral:rRNA from 1 species
GAUGAACGCUGGCGGCGUGCUUAACACAUGCAAGUCGAACGAUGAAAGCGGGAGCUUGCUCCUGCUGGAUUAGUGGCGAACGGGUGAGUAACACGUGAGUAACCUGCCCUUGACUCUGGGAUAAGCGUUGGAAACGACGUCUAAUACCGGAUACGAGCUUCAGUCGCAUGACUAGGAGCUGGAAAGAAUUUCGGUCAAGGAUGGACUCGCGGCCUAUCAGCCAGUUGGUGAGGUAAUGGCUCACCAAGGCGACGACGGGUAGCCGGCCUGAGAGGGUGACCGGCCACACUGGGACUGAGACACGGCCUAGACUCCUACGGGAGGCAGCAGUGGGGAAUAUUGCACAAUGGGCGAAAGCCUGAUGCAGCAACGCCGCGUGAGGUACGACGGCCUUCGGGUUGUAAACCUCUUUUAGUAGGGAAGAAGCGAAAGUGACGGUACCUGCAGAAAAAGCACCGGCUAACUACGUGCCAGCCGCCGCAGUAAAAC